AACAGAGGGUGCAAACGUUGUUCGGAAUUACUGGGCGUAAAGCGCGUGUAGGCGGCUCGGCAAGUCGGAUGUGAAAGCCCUGGGCUUAACCUAGGAAGUGCAUUCGAAACUGCCAAGCUUGAGUUCUGGAGAGGAAGGCGGAAUUCUCGGUGUAGAGGUGAAAUUCGUAGAUAUCGAGAGGAACACUGGUGGCGAAGGCGGCCUUCUGGACAGCAACUGACGCUGAGACGCGAAAGCGUGGGGAGCAAACAGG
rnacentral:rRNA from 1 species